rnacentral:rRNA from 1 species
UGGGCGUAAGCGUGCGCAGGCGGCUUUUUAAGCCAGAUGUGAAAUCCCCGGGCUUAACCUGGGAACUGCAUUUGGAACUGGAAGGCUAGAGUGCGUCAGAGGGGGGUGGAAUUCCACGUGUAGCAGUGAAAUGCGUAGAGAUGUGGAGGAACACCGAUGGCGAAGGCAGCCCCCUGGGAUGACACUGACGCUCAUGCACGAAAGCGUGGGGAGCAAACAGGAUUAGAUACCCUGGUAGUCCACGCCCUAAACGAUGUCAACUGGUUGUUGGGGGAGUGAAAUCCUUCAGUAACGAAGCUAACGCGUGAAGUUGACCGCCUGGGGAGUACGGUCGCAAGAUUAAAACUCAAAGGAAUUGACGGGGACCCGCACAAGCGGUGGAUGAUGUGGAUUAAUUCGAUGCAACGCGAAGAACCUUACCUACCCUUGACAUGUCCGGAACUUGCCAGAGAUGGCUUGGUGCCCGAAAGGGAACCGGAACACAGGUGCUGCAUGGCUGUCGUCAGCUCGUGUCGUGAGAUGUUGGGUUAAGUCCCGCAACGAGCGCAACCCUUGUCCUUAGUUGCUACGCAAGAGCACUCUAAGGAGACUGCCGGUGACAAACCGGAGGAAGGUGGGGAUGACGUCAAGUCCUCAUGGCCCUUAUGGGUAGGGCUUCACACGUCAUACAAUGGUCGGUACAGAGGGUUGCCAAGCCGCGAGGUGGAGCCAAUCCCACAAAGCCGAUCGUAGUCCGGAUUGUUCUCUGCAACUCGAGAGCAUGAAGUCGGAAUCGCUAGUAAUCGCAGGUCAGCAUACUGCGGUGAAUACGUUCCCGGGUCUUGUACACACCGCCCGUCACACCAUGGGAGUGGGUUGCUCCAGAAGUAGGUAGCUUA